rnacentral:misc_RNA from 1 species
CGCAGCCGCGGUAAUUCCAGCUCCAAUAGCGUAUAUUAAAGUUGCUGCAGUUAAAAAGCUCGUAGUUGAAUUUCGGGACUAAUAUGUCGGUCGUGCCUCGGUACGUACUGGUUUAUUGGUUUCUCCUUUCUGAAGAACCAUGAUGUCAUUUAUUUGGUGUCGUGGGGAAUCAGGACUGUUACUUUGAAAAAUUAGAGUGUUUAAAGCAGGCUCACGCUUGAAUACAUUAGCAUGGAAUAAUGAAAUAGGACGUUUGAUUCUAUUUUGUUGGUUUCUAGGAUCGACGUAAUGAUUAAUAGGGAUAGUUGGGGGCAUUAGUAUUCAAUUGUCAGAGGUGAAAUUCUUGGAUUUAUUGAAGACUAACUACUGCGAAAGCAUUUGCCAAGGAUGUUUUCAUUAAUCAAGAACGAAAGUUAGGGGAUCGAAGACGAUCAGAUACCGUCGUAGUCUUAACCAUAAACUAUGCCGACUAGGGAUCGGAUGAUGUUAAUUUUUAAUGACUCAUUCGGCGCCUUACGGG